UGUACAGGGAUGGGAAACCAACCCACAAUGUUCCGCUUACCGGGCAGAUGCCAUGUCCACUAGGCUACCCUGGAC
rnacentral:tRNA from 1 species